UCCCNGGUACCAUCAUAGCUGAUAGCGUG
rnacentral:piRNA from 1 species